GUGUUGUUGGUGUUAUUGGUAGCAUGGCCGGAUGUGACCCGGCAGGAGAGGGUUCGAUUCCCCACUUCACCCCA
rnacentral:tRNA from 1 species